rnacentral:lncRNA from 1 species
UGGGGCCGUUACAUAUGACGCAUCAAGUUUUUGGCGUCGUUGCUGGGGACUAAGAAAACUUUAUUUCUAUGAAUUUAAUCAAUUUUAUUCUAAUUUUGAUAUUUUUUAAUUUAAUUUUUUGUUUAAUUCUUAUAGUUUUUUUUUAUUUAUGACUAGAGGCAACCCGUUAGAACCAUUAGUUUUCUUACAAUAAGAUCGAAAAGAC